UAACAAGGAUUCCCCUAGUAACGGCGAGUGAAGCGGGAAGAGCUCAAAUUUGAAAUCUGGCAGUCUUCGAUUGUCCGAGUUGUAAUCUAUAGAGGCGUUUUCCGUGCCGGACCGUGUCCAAGUCUCCUGGAAAGGAGUAUCAAAGAGGGUGAUAAUCCCGUACUUAACACGACCACCGGUGCUCUGUGAUACGUCUUCUACGAGUCGAGUUGUUUGGGAAUGCAGCUCAAAAUGGGUGGUGAAUUCCAUCUAAAGCUAAAUAUUGGCGAGAGACCGAUAGCGAACAAGUACCGUGAGGGAAAGAUGAAAAGCACUUUGGAAAGAGAGUUAAACAGUACGUGAAAUUGUUGAAAGGGAAACGAUUGAAGUCAGUCGUGUUCUUUGGAUUCAGCCAGUUCUGCUGGUCUACUUCCUUGGAACGGGUCAACAUCAGUUUUGUCCGGUGGAUAAAGGUAGUAGGAAUGUGACUUCUCCGGAAGUGUUAUAGCCUAUUAUCACAUACACUGGGUGAGACUGAGGACUGCAGCUCGCCUUUAUGGCCGGCCUUCGGGCACGUUCGAGCUUAGGAUGUUGACAUAAUGGCUUUA
rnacentral:rRNA from 1 species